rnacentral:rRNA from 1 species
ACUCCUACGGGAGGCAGCAGUGGGGAAUAUUGCACAAUGGGCGCAAGCCUGAUGCAGCAACGCCGUGUGAGUGAAGAAGGUUUUCGGAUCGUAAAACUCUGUCCUAAGGGAAGAAACAAAUGACGGUACCUUAGGAGGAAGCCCCGGCUAACUACGUGCCAGCAGCCGCGGUAAUACGUAGGGGGCAAGCGUUAUCCGGAAUCACUGGGCGUAAAGGGUGCGUAGGCGGCUUAGCAAGCCAGGGGUGAAAGGCAUUGGCUCAACCAAUGUAAGCCUUUGGAACUGUUAAGCUUGAGUGCAGGAGAGGUAAGUGGAAUUCCUAGUGUAGAGGUGAAAUUCGUAGAUAUUAGGAGGAACACCGAGUGGCGAAGGCGACUUACUGGACUGUAACUGACGCUGAUGACACGAAAGCGUGGGUAGCGAACAGGAUUAGAUACCCUGGUAGGACAGAG